UGCUGUCAUUUUUUCCCUUUUGUCCGUGUCUCGACAAUAGAAUACAUGCAUUGGAAGCUGCAAACAGAUGCGCCCAUUAGCAAUAUUUAUUAUAAUAAUAGAACCGCCCAUGAGUACUAUAAAAUAGAAUUAAAAGUGGGUACUACGUAAUUGACUAAAUUAAAGUCUAACCAUUAAUUAUAAAAAUAGUGCAACCAAAACGAAAACGCCAGGAGGCAACCCAAUGGGCAAGUGGUGCAAUAGUGAGCUUUAAAGUUCAAAUACGAAGAGGCAACUUCCAAAGAAACCGAAGGGUCAUUGAAUUGUGUUUAGAAAAUUCCUUUCAUUUGUUUCAGUUUCUUCUCCGCUCUCUCUCUCUCAAAUCAGGUGAGGCGAGGCCACUAUUAUUUCUGCAUUCAACUGUGUUUCGGGUGUGGAGGUGCUAAGGUUCAAAGGAAAAUUGAACAUCUUUCAUGGAAGAGAAAACAAGAAAACCAUGAAGAGAUCUGGAAGUUUGGACUGUUGUUGGACUGGAAAAUAAGUGAAAGAGGAGCGAAGGAAAUUGAGUUUUAACCAGACAAAAGAAGUGUUGCUUUUGUAGCCUUUUAAAGGAAAAAAAGGUUACUUAUAGGAGAAAGGAAAUUGGGUUUAUAAUUUUAAUUGUUGAGAAGUUGAUGUGAUUUUUUAACUGCAAUCAGAACAAUGUCCCUUUUUUCACCUUUGGGAUUAAUGAACUUGGUAUGUGUGUACCACUAAUCAUCUAUUUAGCAUAUCAUUCUUACAGGGUGAGGGAGUUAAGCUCAAGGAAAAUUCCAUCCCAGCACCAAGAUUGAUGAGUACAAGUGAACUUGAGUAAUAAUAUUAUGUUUCUGGGAUGGAAUUGCUGAUAUUAUGUUUUAUGCUCCUAUGCAUUGGGCUAUAAUACACUGAUGAUUAAUCUCAUGUAUUCUUUCAAUUUUCUUAUUGAUUGUAAAUUAACAACUGACUGAAUUACACAAUUUUGUUCCACAUGCGAGGAGUCACAAUUUGUUUCUUGUUUGGACACA